rnacentral:rRNA from 1 species
CAGCCGCCGCGGUAAUACGGAGGGAGCUAGCGUUGUUCGGAAUUACUGGGCGUAAAGCGCACGUAGGCGGUUAUUCAAGUCAGAGGUGAAAGCCCGGGGCUCAACCCCGGAACUGCCUUCGAAACUAGAUGACUGGAAUCUUGGUGAGGUCAGUGGAAUUCCGAGUGUAGAGGUGAAAUUCGUAGAUAUUCGGAAGAACACCAGUGGCGAAGGCGACUGACCGGACAAGUAUUGACGCUGAGGUGCGAAAGCGUUGGGAGCAAACAGGAUUAGAUACCCCCGUAGUCCCUGUCUCUUAUAC